UACGUAGGGUGCAAGCGUUGUCCGGAAUUAUUGGGCGUAAAGAGCUCGUAGGCGGUUCGUCGCGUCGGCUGUGAAAACUCGGGGCUUAACCCCGAGCCUGCAGUGGAUACGGGCAGACUAGAGGUAGGUAGGGGAGAAUGGAAUUCCCGGUGUAGCGGUGAAAUGCGCAGAUAUCGGGAGGAACACCGGUGGCGAAGGCGGUUCUCUGGGCCUUACCUGACGCUGAGGAGCGAAAGCGUGGGGAGCGAACAGG
rnacentral:rRNA from 1 species